GACGAACGCUGGCGGCGUGCUUAACACAUGCAAGUCGAGCGGUAAGGCUCCUUCGGGAGUACACGAGCGGCGAACGGGUGAGUAACACGUGAGUAGUCUGCCCUUCACUUCGGGAUAACCACCGGAAACGGUGGCUAAUACCGAAUACGACCAGUCUUCGCAUGAGGUGCUGGUGGAAAGUCUUUUCGGUGAAGGAUGUGCUCGCGGCCUAUCAGCUUGUUGGUGGGGUAAUGGCCUACCAAGGCUUCGACGGGUAGCCGGCCUGAGAGGGUGACCGGCCACACUGGGACUGAGACACGGCCCAGACUCCUACGGGAGGCAGCAGUGGGGAAUAUUGGACAAUGGGCGAAAGCCUGAUCCAGCAACGCCGCGUGAGGGAUGACGGCCUUCGGGUUGUAAACCUCUUUCAGUACCGACGAAGCGCCCUGUCGGGUGGUGACGGUAGGUACAGAAGAAGGACCGGCCAACUACGUG
rnacentral:rRNA from 1 species